rnacentral:rRNA from 1 species
UACGUAGGAGGCGAGCGUUGUCCGGAAUCACUGGGCGUAAAGCGCGUGUAGGCGGGAAGGCAAGUCUGCUGUGAAAGCGCCUGGCUUAACCGGGCGAGGUCGGCGGAAACUGCUUACCUGGAGGACGGUAGAGGGGGGUGGAAUUCCCGGUGUAGCGGUGGAAUGCGUAGAUAUCUGGAAGAACACCGGUGGCGAAGGCGGUGGUCUGGGCCGUUACUGACGCUGAGGAGCGAAAGCCAGGGGAGCGAACGGG